AGGAUCAACCAGGAGUCCUGGUGGCUUAUGAGUCUACAUAAUGAGCUUCUAAUAACGUGUUCCAU
rnacentral:snoRNA from 1 species